rnacentral:tRNA from 1 species
AAGUCUUAUAAUAAAUUUCAAUUCAGUAAGUAGUUUAAUUAAAAUUUUAAUUUUGGAAAUUAAAGAUAUA